UGGGGAAUAUUGGACAAUGGGCGAAAGCCUGAUCCAGCCAUGCCGCGUGUGUGAAGAAGGCCUUUUGGUUGUAAAGCACUUUAAGCGAGGAGGAGGCUACUUAGAUUAAUACUCUAGGACAGUGGACGUUACUCGCAGAAUAAGCACCGGCUAACUCUGUGCCAGCAGCCGCGGUAAUACAGAGGGUGCGAGCGUUAAUCGGAUUUACUGGGCGUAAAGCGUGCGUAGGCGGCUUUUUAAGUCGGAUGUGAAAUCCCUGAGCUUAACUUAGGAAUUGCAUUCGAUACUGGGAAGCUAGAGUAUGGGAGAGGAUGGUAGAAUUCCAGGUGUAGCGGUGAAAUGCGUAGAGAUCUGGAGGAAUACCGAUGGCGAAGGCAGCCAUCUGGCCUAAUACUGACGCUGAGGUACGAAAGCAUGGGGAGCAAACAGG
rnacentral:rRNA from 1 species